GUUCAAGGUUCCUGACCUGUGGCCAUCAAGCUAUAGAUGAUCUUCAGUGAGGGAUACCCUCCUCUCAAUAUUCAAGAGUCACCCUUCUACGGGUGACCCCUAGACUGCCCAUCAGUGAGACAUGACAGAGGUGAAAUUCUGCCCCGUCUCCCUUGGGACCUGGCUGGAUACCACUUUCACCAACCCACAGAGCCACCCUGCUGUGACAACUAGCAAGAGGCUAAGACCCACAGAACCACCACCACCCCUCUGUCAGCAGGAAGUAGUUACAGAAGACUGCCCUUCAUCCAUUUCCCCCAAAGAAUUGGGGUCUUGAACUCCAGAGGGGGGAAAUAUUAUAGCAGUUAGCUAGUCAGGCAUGAGCAGAGCAGGAAAGGGCUCCCCGAUAACAGGAAUUUCAGGCGACUAUCAGGUGAUGGUCAGGCAGCUGUCACACUGUCUCUCUAAAUUAAUAACUGGUUGUAGCUGGUGCCAGAAAAAGGCAGUCUCCAAAUAGACAGAACACCUGAAACGUGAUCAGCAGCCUCCCUAUAAGAUCUCAGGAGUUGGGUGAGUGGGAUCAAGCAUGCACAUUAAGAGGCAAAAUGGCAGAGUUUAACUGGUACAUGACCUUCCAGGGACAUCCCACUGGCAAGGGAAGAAUGCCUCAAGUGAGCAUGUGUGCAACUCCAGUAAAUACACUGCACAUGUGAACAGCCCACCCUAAGGGAAUAAUCAGGGGAAGAGGAACACAAGAUCCCAGAAGUCUGCCAACAUAUAAAACCCCAAGUCAAAAGGUCAAACUGCACACUUAUCUUUCAAGUCGUCUGCUUGGCCCUUUUCCAAGUAUACUUUCCUUCCUUUUGUUCCUGCUCUAAAGCUUCUUAAUAAACUUUCACUCCUGCUCUAAAACUUGCCUCAGUGUCUCCUGCCUUCAGCACCUCAGCUGAAUUCUUUCUUCUGAGGAGAACUGAGGUUGCUGCAGACCCAUAUGGAUUCGCUACUGGUAACAAUACUACCUGGGAAAUACUGUCCUGAGCUUCCUGUUGUCCAAUGUCUGGAAACCGGUGUUUCAUGUAUUUUUAUCCAGUUUCCUGGUUAAGGUAGGAAGGUUUUUAAUGGACCAUUCUCUUCAAUUGUGUUUUUCUCCCAAGUUUUUAUUUUUAAAAAUGUGAAGCUUAACUAAAAUUUGAGAAAACUGAACAAUGAACAUACAUAAGCCUUUCAUCUAGAUUAAUCAAUUGUUAAUAUUUUGCCAUGGAUGCUUUAUUUCUCUUUUUAUAUUUUUCAACCAAUUAAAAGUAAGUUCUGGCCGAGUGCGGUGGCUCACACCUGUAAUCCCAGCACUUUGGGAGGCCGAGGUGGGCUGAUCACCUGACGUCGGGAGUUGGAGACCAGCCUGAACCAACAUGGCGAAACCUCGUCUCUAGUAACAAUACAAAAAAUUAGCUGGGCAUGGUGGCAUAUGCCUGUAAUCCAAGCUACUCGGGAGGCUGAGGCAGAAGAAUCACUUGAACCCAGGAAGCAGAGGUUGUGGUGAGCCAAGAUCGUGCCAUUGCACUCCAGCCUGGGCAACAAGAGCAAAACUCUGUCUCAAAAAAAAAAGUAAGUUCCACACCUAAAUAUUCAUCCUGCAUCUCCCAAGAAGAGGGAAUUCUCUUAUAUAACCACAACAGCAUUGUUCUACCUAAGAAAUGUAAUUGACGUAAUAAUAGUAAUAUACAGCCCAUAUUCAAAUUUCUCCAAUUAUCCUUAAAGCUUUUCUUUUUCUAGAUUCACAAUCCAAUCAAGAAUACGGUUGAUAAGGCCGGGCUCGGU
rnacentral:lncRNA from 10 species